UUCUAUUCGGCUUUUCCCCAACUUCUACAUUAUUAUAACAAAAGCUCUAGAAACAAUGAUAACUAACAGGAUAUAAAUUAAAAUGUUCCCAUCCUCAUCCAAAAUGCCAUUUAUCCCUUCCUGGUUUACGAAAAUUCAUCUGCGGCAACUUCGACAUCACGACAACAAAAACACGAGACAGCAUCCACAGCAAAUACAAAAAGGCACUACAGAAUCAGUGAAAUCAGCGAUCAUGAAAAAAGAUGGACAACCAAUGUACAAAAGACAACAAAUAGUGCAAAUAAAGAAAAAACAAAACAAGUAAAUGAAUGAAUAAACAAUAAAUAUCAAGAACACUGGUGUGAAGUCCAAGCAGAAUCACAUACCAGGUUUUGAAUCAGAGAGGCACUGAGCCGUUCUGUUUGUGUGUUAAUGGAAUCAAAGGGCUUGCUCUGUCACAAUGCAAAAAGAAAAUGAGAGAGAUCCGAAUCAGCACAUAAAUCACCCUUGGCACUCAGCGAUCUGCCAGUUUGGAGUGGCAUCAAUCAUUAAGGAGCCCUCUGGGACAUGCCCUCUUCUCAUUACAUCUGAUCAGGAAAAAGGUACAGGAGUCUGAAAGACUCACCCCAACAUUUCAAGUGCAGCUUCUUCCCCUCUGCCAGCCAAAGUUUUUUGAAUGCUCCAUGAACACUACUUUUCCUCUUAUGCACUUUUUUUUUUGGUGACUUACAGUAAUUUUUGUCUUACAACAUACUGUUCUUGCAAAAAAAGUUUCACAGCAAACUUGAUUCUGAAUCUGAAUGGCCUGUUCCUGAGCUGUACUGUUCAAACUGAAACCAGCUUUCGCAAGGAAAUUCAAGGCUUGGCUCCCUGCUCUAGAUUCUUUCAGAGGAGAGCGGUUCAGCCCACUGAAUCCUUUUAAUAGGUUCUUUAGAAGACCCUGACCUGGAGCUGCACGCUGACUUCUGUUCUUUGCAGGAAUGGGACCCGCUCUUGGGGUCUCAUGACAGCCCGCUAUUUGAUAUGCCAAGGAUGCACCCUAGAAGACUAGCGCACCAUUAGGGUUCCAGGAUUUUGUGGCUCUGGAAGUGGGCGGUCUCAAGAUUUCCAGUAUCAAUGGUUUGUUUUUUGAUAAGGUGCAGGUUGCCCAAGUGCAAACAGCAAGUAAAGACUCUGAACACAGCUGCAGUAUGAAAACCAUCACGCACAGAAAUAUUAUUUAGCCAUGACCACCAGCUGUUCACAAGGUUGCUGCUGUGCUGCCUUGUGAAGGACACCACUCACCUCGUUGCCAGGUAACCGUGGAAGGAUCAAUAUCCAAACGAACAAACUUCGUGAUCUCCUCUGGUGUCAGGAGAUGGGGGUCCUUCUUCUGAAUACCCAAGCGCUGUAUUUUUUAAAAAACGAC